AGAGUUUGAUCCUGGCUCAGAUUGAACGCUGGCGGCAGGCUUAACACAUGCAAGUCGAGCGGAGUGAUGGUGCUUGCACCAUCACUUAGCGGCGAACGGGUGAGUAAUGCCUAGGAAUCUGCCCAUUAGCGGGGGACAACGUGUGGAAACGCACGCUAAUACCGCAUACGCCCUACGGGGGAAAGCAGGGGACUCUUUUAGAGCCUUGCACUAAUGGAUGAGCCUAGGUCGGAUUAGCUAGUUGGUGGGGUAAAGGCCUACCAAGGCGACGAUCUGUAGCGGGUCUGAGAGGAUGAUCCGCCACACUGGAACUGAGACACGGUCCAGACUCCUACGGGAGGCAGCAGUGGGGAAUAUUGGACAAUGGGCGCAAGCCUGAUCCAGCCAUGCCGCGUGUGUGAAGAAGGCCUUUUGGUUGUAAAGCACUUUAAGCGAGGAGGAGGCUACCUGUAUUAAUACUAUAGGAUAGUGGACGUUACUCGCAGAAUAAGCACCGGCUAACUCUGUGCCAGCAGCCGCGGUAAUACAGAGGGUGCGAGCGUUAAUCGGAAUUACUGGGCGUAAAGCGCGCGUAGGCGGUUUGUUAAGUCGGAUGUGAAAUCCCCGGGCUCAACCUGGGAAUUGCAUUCGAUACUGGCAAGCUAGAGUAUGGGAGAGGAAGGUAGAAUUCCAGGUGUAGCGGUGAAAUGCGUAGAGAUCUGGAGGAAUACCGAUGGCGAAGGCAGCCUUCUGGCCUAAUACUGACGCUGAGGUGCGAAAGCAUGGGGAGCAAACAGGAUUAGAUACCCUGGUAGUCC
rnacentral:rRNA from 1 species